UUGGUUGACAUAUGACCUUGAAAAAUGUCAACCGGAAGUGACCUUGAGUGAACCAGAAGUAGUCAUUUUUGCACUUAUUUCAUGUAGAAGUACAUAGAAACCAUAUAUUUUUUGAAUGGUCAUACAUUAAUCUAUCAUUUGAGACAGGAAGUGAUAUUUUAUAAACCGGAAGUAGCAUAUUAUCUCCCUUAUUACAGGCAUAAGUAUAUAUAAACCAUAUAUUUUUGGAAUCAGUGUGAAUAAAGCUAUCAUAUGAGACCGGAAGUGACAUUUUCUAAACCGGAAGUUGACAAUUAUCUCCCUUAUUUCAGGCAAAAGUCUAUAGAAACCAUAUGUUUAUUGAAUCAGUAUGAAGAAACCUUUGAUUGGACGCUAAUAGUAGCUUUGAGUAAACCAGAAUUAGCUUCUCAUCAAUUAUUUAGAAAAUUGAUGUGGAAAGACCUUCAAUUGUUCUUUGAACAAUUGGUUUUUAAUUAUUAUUAUUAUUUUUUUUUUUUUUCCGCCAACUUUUGAAAUAUUUGUUUCGCAAUAUGUCACUUAGAUAUUUCUCAUAUUGUAUCAUAUAGUUUAUGCGCUUUUAAAUUUCACCCUGCUAAGCUGAACAACUAUCUUUGUAAGAGUUAUCUCCCUAUUCACUGUUUAUCAAGUGUGUGCAUCUCCUUCGUAACAAAAAAAGAUAUUGACAAAAUUCUUUUUCUAAAUUGUUCGUUACAUCCUCAGGAAUGUUUGGCUAAUUUGGAUCGAAGCGAUUCGAUGAAAUUUUAUAGGAGUUAUCUACCUUUAUCAAAUAAAUUUGUCGUUAUGUUUUUGUUACUCAUAAACUGUAAGCCGUAUAAACCUAUAGUCUUUUUAUUUAAGGUCCUUGGAUCCUAACUUCGAAAAUGAGGUCAAGGUCAAAGGUCAAGGUCAUGUUCUGAAUUUUGUCUUUUGCUUGUUUUUGCAUUUUCUCCGAUAUUUUUAAUGUUAUAUAUUAAAGAACAAGUGCAAAA